AUUGAACGCUGGCGGCAGGCCUAACACAUGCAAGUCGAACGAGUGGCGGACGGGUGAGUAAUGUCUGGGAAACUGCCUGAUGGAGGGGGAUAACUACUGGAAACGGUAGCUAAUACCGCAUACCAUCAGAUGUGCCCAGAUGGGAUUAGCUUGUUGGUGGGGUAAUGGCUCACCAAGGCGACGAUCCCUAGCUGGUCUGAGAGGAUGACGAGCCACACGGGGACGGAGACAUGGCCCAGACUCAUACGGGAGGCAGUAGUGGGGAAGAUUGCACAAGGGGUGCAAGUGUGAUGGAGCCAGGCAGAGUGUAGGAAGAAGGCCAUAGGGGUGGAAAGGACUUGCAGGAGGGAGGCGGUACCGACAGAAGAAGCACCGGCUAACACAGGGCCAGCAGCGGCGGUAAUUC
rnacentral:rRNA from 1 species